UGAGCCAAAGCAAUUUUACCACUAGAAAUGCUCUAUCUUUGUAGGUCUGUGCUUCCCUGCCAACCAGCCCUCUGUCCCUCAAGACAUUUAUGAUCUGUUCCAACAACUGAAAAAUGGGGAGUUAGAGUACACAAUAUAUGAAAGCUUAUAUUCCUCCUGCUAUAAAUGUCUACUUUAGAAUCAAGAUCUGAAGAGAAUGAUCAUCUUUACCUCUACUCUGCUUGCGUCUACCUUGGACCUACCUUGAGCAAAUUCCAUCGAUAACAGUUGCUUUGACGGAAGACUGUAGCAGGUUAUAACGCCAGUGAGUAGAGAAGCCCUUUGAGGAACUGUAAUUGAUGAGAGAAGCCAAACACAGACAGAUGUGCUAUAUCCCGGCAAGGGAAGUAUCCAAUGGCCAGCCUUCAGAGUACAGUCAGUGUGAUGUUUUGCCCAGAGACUGCUGUUAUCCCAAAUGAGAAGGAAUGUGUGGUACUAUUAGAAAUGAAUACAUCAAGCUAUAGUCAAACACCAGGAGAUAAAUGGGCCAUUAUUUGCAAGUCAAGUGGGUAA
rnacentral:lncRNA from 1 species